rnacentral:lncRNA from 1 species
GUUAUGUAAAAUUAGAACUUAUAUCAUAAGCUUAAGGUUUACCUGUUUACUUGACGGAUAUCUAAAUUAGCUAACUUGUAUAAAAUUGAAUUUCUUAUAAGAGGAUUUAAUCUUUCGUGUGUGUUAUUUCAGGGAACCUUAAUUUAUAGAAGAUUAUAAAGAUCUGAUAAGCAAUGCCAUCGAAGAAGGUAAAGAAGUUUGCCAGCGAGCCAGUUGGUAACAAACAUGUCAGCGAAAUAGGAGGUAUUGGGGAAAAAUUCGGCAAACAGUUAGAAGAAGAAGAUUAUGAAUAUGCUAAAGAUCUUCUUAUAGAAUUCAUGCGUUUGGGAGAAACAGAGCAUAGAUUCAAAAGAUUUCUGGGGAAACUUCUUCCUCGAGCCAAUACAAAACACAUUCAAGAUUGUUAUGAGUCAGUGGCAGGUUGGUGCGACAAUUAUCCGAAAGAGAAAUACCUACUGCUGUACCCAAAACAUGAGUCCGAGGAAUAACACAAGAGAGCACCUGUUUCUCUUGCAUCGGAUGGAUGGAUGGCUUCCUAAUAUGCAAGACUUCCACACCUCUGUGACACAUUAGCUCUAUCAACAGUAGCCUUGUCUUGCCAGAGGAUCUGUAAAUAUUGUUUAAACAAAUACAUGACAAUACAUUAAUUAUCUCAAAAUUUUGCAAAAUAUUGUUUUUCUUGUCAUCAGUGUGUGAUUUAUCUUCAUAGUACUCUAACGCUGGAUGAUAUCCUUAGAUGCAUUUGAUUUUUCGCAGGAACCUAGAAAUAUAUGUCAAUUAUAGAAAAACUUGUCUCGUUUUGCUGUCAUAACGUUCCUUUAAAUUUUAUUGAUUAGUCAAUAUUUACUGACUUAGGUUUGUGACAUCAUGUAAAUAAAUUCAUUUAUUUUUACUGUGUUCCAUAAUAUCCUUAAUACUGAUAAAUAGUUAUUUUUAAAAAAGAAUGUUCUUUUUAUUCAUAGUAUUACUUGAAAGUUCUGGAACAUUCCCUGAUUCUUUAUAUUGAGAAAUGUGUGUUAUAAUAUUAGAACAUAGAAAAUAGAAUUUAUAGAUAUUGAUGAUACUUUCCUGUAUUUCUUAAUAACAAAAUAUUUGAAGAGUAUUUGAAGGAUUUACUAAAUUUGUGGAUUUAGAAAGUUAUCUUUGAAGAGAGGAAUUAUAAUCACUUUUGGAUAUACUAAAGUUACUUUUGAACUGUGUGAAACAUUGUGGAGGACAUACUUUGGACAAUGUUUACUUAAAAGAUUGGAUUUUACGGCUCUGUGACAUUUUUGAAGGUAUUUCUAUUUUUUCUUAAAUUCAUAAAUGACAGUUUGUUAUUGUUAAUAGUUGCUGGUUGGUCUUUCUGUUACUUUUAUUUACUGUAAGAAGAAAUUGUUACCCUCUGACGUUACACUAUACUUAGGCAUUUUACGCAAAAACAUUUUGAAAAUGUAUGUCUGUAGUAGAUGUAGCUUUUUCUGCAAAAUUAAUUCACAUCCAAUAAUUAGACUGUUGAUAUAAUGCAAGAUCCCGUUUCUAUGAUAGCUAUGGUGAUAUAUACCUCACUUUUAUAGCAUCCGAUUUAAACUCUAAAGAAUUAUACAGAAAGACGUGUAAUUUUAAAACAAUGUUAAUAUGCUUAUUCAUAAAGUAUACAAUUCUACAUAGAAUGGUAUGUUAUGGACACAAUGAAACGAUGCAUUGAAAUAAGUGAGGUUACUAAGUAAAAAGUAAUCGUAUGUCCUUCUCUCGUUAUGGUGAGCUAUUGUGGUCAGUGAUUGUCCGUCGUCCGUCCACAUUUUCAUUUGAACAAUUCUUAACUACCAAGCUGAUUUCAAUGAAACUUCGGAAGGAUGUGCCUUGGAUAGUGUUCUUUAAAAAUUGUUAAAAAAUUUGAAUUCUUGUCAGAACUCUUAUUGUCAUGGUAACCGGAAAGAAAAAUUUUCAAAUUAUUUUUGUCUAAACCCACAUAUCCUGGAGCUUUGAUAUCUUGUAUGUAAAAUCAUCUAGGGUUCCUCUACCAAGGUUGCUAAAAUUAUUUAUGAGGGUCAUAUAUGACCCCGCCCUAGGGGACAGAUGGUUUAUAUAGAAUUACAAAACCUUCAAAAUAUUCUUGUUCAAAACCACAGGCCCCAGGGCUCUGAUAUUUGGUAUGCAGCAUCAUCGAGUAGUCCUCUACUAGGCUUAUUAAAAUUAUUCUUCUAGGAUCUAUAAUGACUCGCCCACUGGGUCACAUAGUUUAUAUAGACGUAUUAAGAGAAAACGUUGAAAAACGAUUUUGUACAAACAAAACCACACGGCAUAGGGCUUUGAUAUUUGGUAAAUAGCAUUGUAUAGUAGUCCUUUGCCGAAUUUGUUCCAAUCAUCUUCCUUGGGUAAACAAUGGCUUCACCCAAAAGGCACACGGUUUACACAGACUUGCAUAGGAAACAUUUCAAAAAUCUUUCAAAAAUCUUAUCUCAAACUGCAAGUUCCUCUACCAAGUUUGUUAACCUUAGCCCAUGGGGUCAAAAUAACAAUGUCUCAGGUUGUCAAAAGACUUGAAUAAGAAGAAAAAAUUGUCUAAUACUGUAGUAAAUAUUUGAUGUUCAUCAUGGGCAACGAUCAGAAUUCACUUCGAAUUAAAUAGCCAUGACCUUCUGACCUGCUGUCCUGUUUUUGAACUUAAGUAAUGGAGUUUAUGUUAAUAUAAUAUGCAUCUUCACAGUUCUUGAAAUACAAUUUGACUAAAGAUAAUAGUCUGCAUUCAUGUCUCAGAGUUCUUUUUAGUAUGGACGUUUCGUCCCUGCUCUGCAACAAGCAUAAUUUCAACAUCAUUGAAAAAAAACGGUUGCAUAUAAUUGUGAACUUUCACCAUUUCUAUGACGCAGUUAUUACUGGAAAAGUACAGAAUUUCGGAUAUUCUAUUAGUAUUGUCUACUGGUAUCUAUAAAAUUACUAUUAUGUCCCUGGGGUUUAAAGUAAACAACAUCCAUGAACCGGCUUAGUCGAACCGUGCCUGCAACAUUUUUAUUUGUGUCGUGUUGUGGUACCUGUGGAGUUUUCAUUUGUUGGCGUCUUUUUAUGUUAUUUAUGUGUUGUGUGGAUAUAUACCAUAUAUACUUAGAACAUUAUCUUUUUGAAUACAUGAAUAAUCAUCAUAAA